rnacentral:SRP_RNA from 1 species
GCCAGGUGUGGUGGUGUGCGCUUAUACUCCUAGCUACUGGGGAGGCUGAAGCAGGAGGAUCACUUUAGCCCAGGAGUUCUGGGCUGUAGUGUGCUGUCCAUUAGGCGACAGCGCUAAGUUUGGCAUCAAUAUGGUGGCCUCCAAGAAGAGGCCCACCAGGUUGCCUAAGGAGGGGUGAAGCAGCACAGGUCCUAAACAGCAGGUUAAAACUCCCGUGCUGAUCAGUAGUGGGAUCACUUUACUCCAGCCUGAGCAACAUAGCGAGACCUCAUCCCU